ensembl:lncRNA
CGGGAUUUCUGCACUUGGACCACAGCUGAUUCUUGCCGGAUUCACUUAAGGUUGUGUUUCAAAGCAGCAACAGGAGAACACCAGUCAGCCCCAAGAAGCUUUAUGGAGUUCUUUGUACUAAGGAACAGUGGGGUAAUACUGUGCCUCCAAUUGUCAUUAUACCCAAGAAUCAAAUUAUUGGAAUUCUGGACACAUCAGCACAAAACCGAAGACUCCCUGCCAAUUUCGUAGCCUGCUUGGAAGAGAACAUCAUAGAGCAUCACUCAUUUAUACGACUGCCAGCCUGAGAUUGUAAAUUCAGAAAACAAGAAGGCCUCAGGUGCUGCACUUUAACACGUCUUUCUGCUCCUGAAUCGCCCCCCUCCUCACUACCCCCACGUACAAGGAGGUGCGAGCACUGAAUUCCCCAGGAAUUCUUGGAGCUGGACCAGCAGUGAGUUUGACCCAAC